UGUGUGUGUGUGUGUGUGUGUGUGUGUGUGUGUGUGUGUGUGUGUAUAUGCACGCUCACACGCGCACACACACAAA